rfam:Ictidomys tridecemlineatus contig090616, whole genome shotgun sequence.
GGGGUUGUGGCUCAGCGGUAGGGUGCUCGCCUCGCACGCAUGAGGCCCUGGGUUCGAUCCUCAGCACCACCU